rnacentral:rRNA from 1 species
ACACUCCUGCGGGAGGCAGCAGUGGGGAAUAUUGCACAAUGGGCGCAAGCCUGAUGCAGCCAUGCCGCGUGUAUGAAGAAGGCCUUCGGGUUGUAAAGUACUUUCAGCGGGGAGGAAGGCGAUAAGGUUAAUAACCUUGUCGAUUGACGUUACCCGCAGAAGAAGCACCGGCUAACUCCGUGCCAGCAGCCGCGGUAAUACGGAGGGUGCAAGCGUUAAUCGGAAUUACUGGGCGUAAAGCGCACGCAGGCGGUCUGUCAAGUCGGAUGUGAAAUCCCCGGGCUCAACCUGGGAACUGCAUUCGAAACUGGCAGGCUAGAGUCUUGUAGAGGGGGGUAGAAUUCCAGGUGUAGCGGUGAAAUGCGUAGAGAUCUGGAGGAAUACCGGUGGCGAAGGCGGCCCCCUGGACAAAGACUGACGCUCAGGUGCGAAAGCGUGGGGAGCAAACAGGAUUAGAUACCCCGGUAGUCCCAU